rnacentral:lncRNA from 1 species
GCAGCUGCGUUAUUAGAGCUCCACGGCGGAUCUCGGGGCUCUUCUGCUCGCUUUUUUUCCUCUUCAGAAAUUAAAGCAGAGGAGCAUCUGAAAGUGGAAAGGUCCCCCUUCUGGUAGGAUGGAUGUAAAAGGAGGCAACAAUUUGUUCUUGAGGGGGCAAAAAAAAAAAAAAAAAAAAAGAAAAAGAAAAAGAAAAAGAAAGGAGGGGGGAAAUUCAUUGCUUGGCUUUUGCAUUGUCGGACUUUAAAAAAGUGUGUCUGCUGUUGUUGCCCGGACUCGGGAAAUCUUUUUUAUGGCAACCGCAGACCUGCCAAGUCUCUCUUACUUGGAAUCUUUAUAAAGGCAAGUUAUUUGGACUUUUUUUUUAUUUUCUCGUUUAGAGAAAGUCAUUGAUGCUGACGAAUGUCAUAAUGUGAUUCAAAAGAGACAGCUUUGAGUUCACUUUUUUAACAUUCUCAAAUUGACAUAGAUCUUUGUCCAGAAAAUAAAGCUUUCUGUUGAUUUUUUCUUUAAGCAAGAGGUAAGGAAAUAUGCACUUAAGAAUAUGUGUACAAGAAAAUAGUUUCUAAAAUAAAUUGAAAUGUCUGCAGGUCGGUGGGAAUUUUUGUUUCUUUUCGCAGUUUUGUUUUCUAACUUUUCACCUGCUCCCAUCGCAAAACAAGAAACCAUCACCUGUUUCCUUCUUUUACCUUAUCUUAAGGGAAAGGAUGUUUUAGUAUUAUUAUUGUUGUUGCUAUUUAUUGAUUGGACACGCUUGUCAAGUUAUAAAUGCCUGAGAGGGCUACCAAGUAGAGCUUAGAUUCACAAGUCUUGGUGGAAAUUAAGAGAUUCAGAAUACGGUUAAUUACACAAAACAGGCAGAAUUUUGUACAAAUACUAUUGUUCUUAAUCAGAUUUUAAAAAUUCUCCGUUCUGUAAAAUUAAGGUACAGCUAUCUAUUAAGCCACCAUGCAAAGACAUCAAAGCUUUAAGGAAGUUGUAUUUUUUCCAGUCUAACCUGUAAACUGCCUGGACCCUCAUGUGGAUAGCUGCAAAUACAGUAUGUUUUUUUUCAAUAUCUUCAUUAUAAUUAAAUGAGUUUUCAAUC